rnacentral:rRNA from 1 species
AUUGAACGCUGGCGGCAGGCCUAACACAUGCAAGUCGAGCGGCAGCGGGAAAGUAGCUUGCUACUUUUGCCGGCGAGCGGCGGACGGGUGAGUAAUGCCUGGGGAUCUGCCCAGUCGAGGGGGAUAACUACUGGAAACGGUAGCUAAUACCGCAUACGCCCUACGGGGGAAAGCAGGGGACCUUCGGGCCUUGCGCGAUUGGAUGAACCCAGGUGGGAUUAGCUAGUUGGUGAGGUAAUGGCUCACCAAGGCGACGAUCCCUAGCUGGUCUGGGAGGAUGACCAGUCACACUGGAACUGAGACACGGUCCAGACUCCUACGGGAGGCAGCAGUGGGGAAUAUUGCACAAUGGGCGCAAGCCUGAUGCAGCCAUGCCGCGUGUGUGAAGAAGGCCUUCGGGUUGUAAAGCACUUUCAGCGGGGAGGAAGGGUCACUAGUUAAUACCUAGUGGCAUUGACGUUACUCGCAGAAGAAGCACCGGCUAACUCCGUGCCAGCAGCCGCCGUAAUAC